rnacentral:rRNA from 1 species
CGGCGCACGGGUGCGUAACGCGUAUGCAACCUACCUUUUACAGGAGUAUAGCCCAGAGAAAUUUGGAUUAAUCCUCCAUAAUAUCUUAAUCAUGCAUGUGAUAAAGAUUAAAGCUUCGGUGGUAAAAGAUGGGCAUGCGUUUUAUUAGCUAGUAGGUGAGGUAACGGCUCACCUAGGCCACGAUAAAUAGGGGCCCUGAGAGGGGGAUCCCCCACACUGGUACUGAGACACGGACCAGACUCCUACGGGAGGCAGCAGUGAGGAAUAUUGGACAAUGGACGAAAGUCUGAUCCAGCCAUGCCGCGUGCAGGAUGACGGCCCUAUGGGUUGUAAACUGCUUUUAUGCAGGAAGAAACACUCCCACGUGUGGGGGCUUGACGGUACUGUAUGAAUAAGGAUCGGCUAACUCCGUGCCAGCAGCCGCGGUAAUACGGAGGAUCCAAGCGUUAUCCGGAAUUAUUGGGUUUAAAGGGUCCGCAGGCGGUCUAUUAAGUCAGAGGUGAAAUCUUGCAGCUCAACUGUAAAAUUGCCUUUGAUACUGGUAGACUUGAGUCAUUGUGAAGUGGUUAGAAUGUGUAGUGUAGCGGUGAAAUGCAUAGAUAUUACACAGAAUACCAAUUGCGAAGGCAGAUCACUAACAAUGUACUGACGCUCAUGGACGAAAGCGUGGGGAGCGAACAGGAUUAGAUACCCUGGUAGU